AAUAAUUAAAUAACACAGGAAAUUAAAACUAGUAAAAGGAAACAAAAGAACUUAAGACUAACAGAAAUGAAAAACAUAGGUCAGAAAUCCCAUUUUCCUUGAUGCUGUAAACAAAAUCCCAUUGUGCAUCAGCCAUUGCAGAGACCUUCCACCUAUGAAACAAACAGCUUUUGACUUUUCAACCUCCAGUCUUUGUUAUUUUCUGUGAGUUCAUCAGACCAAUCCGUCGUUACCAAGUCCGAACUCAUCAAUAUCAUUUAUCUUCUAUCACCGUCGUGAUUUCUGUCGCGGUUUACCAGUUCUUCCACCACGCAUGGUACCUCUUCCAUCCAAUAUCGUGGUCCAUCAUACUUCUGUUCUUUCAACGCCAAUCCAUGUGCCGCUUUAUUGGCUUCCCUUGGUAUGUGUUUGAAUUGCAAACUUCUAAAUUUGGAGGUUCUCCCCUUAAUUUCAUGGAUCAAACUUCUAAUGCAUGAUCUAUCUUCAACUACAAAAAUUAGUUUCCUAAUAAUAGUCAACGCAUCUCCCUCAACACAUAUGUCUUGGAAACUCAUUUCUUCCGCCAUAGUAACAGCUUGUAAACAUGCCCUCACCUCGGCUAUUGUUGGAUCUGAAAUAUUCUCCCAUGGGUAAAUGCAUGAUGUCAUCAUUAAUCUUUCUUUAUUUCAAGCAAUGAUUCCAGAAAUUGAUCUGUGAUAGUUCUGAUUAAAUGAUGCAUCAAAGUUAAUUUUUAUAACAUUUCCCCUAGGUGGUUGCCACAUAUUAGCGUUAGUAUCAUUUCUGGUCUUCAACACCUCACCCAUAUGCUAUAUUUCUAUUUAAUAUGCGUUGAUAAAGCCCACAAUUUCAUGCACUCGGUCUCUUUUCCCCUCAUGAUAAAUUCUAUUCUGGUUGUACCAAAUAGCCCAUAAAAAGAUAGUUCGAAUUUUGCAUUCUUCAUUACUAUGAUUUUAAUAUUCAACUGCUAACCAUUUUUUCCAACUUGUUUCUCUAUUGAUUGUUAAGUUAAACACUCCCAAAUCCCAUAAUACUUGUCGAGUAAAGUUGCAAUCCCAAAAGAGAUUGCCCACCGUAUCUUCUUCUUCUUGGCAUACUAGACAAAUCGUGUUAGUCACCAGCUUGCGGAUUUUCAGAUUAUAUAGUAUAGGCACAAAUUUGUUAGCAACUUUCCAAAAAUGUAUUUGAAACUUGCUUGGUAGCUUAAGAUCCCAUAUGUUUGUAAAAAACUUAGAUAGAUUAUUGUAAUGCCCCAAAUUUUUGUAAAUUCGGCUUUUGUGAUGGUUGAGUAUGGAAAUAUCUGAACAAUUGUUUUUGUGUUAUUUUGGGAUUUAAAUGUGUGGUUAAGAGGUAUGUGUUUUGGGGUGUGUUUGGGAGGUCUCAAGUUCGAGCCUUAACUUGGGCUAAAUUUUGGUUUUUAUUUGGAUAAAACUUAAGUUUUGGUUAAUAGGCUUAUCAAAAUUUAUUGGUAGGAACUUAACAGAUUGGGCCUGUUGGUUUGGUGUUUAAGUGGAGUGUUAGUCUACUUAGGGUCCUGAGUUCGAAUCUCUGCAGUGGCUUUGGGAUUAUUUUUGCUGCAAGUUUCUGCUAAAUUUUAGGCUUUAUCAAAAUUUUGAGUUUAGGGUUUAGUGAAAAUUAAGGGUUUGCGGUAUGUCUUUAUUUUCCUUAUUUUUAACAAAAACUUUUUCCUCUGCCAUUUUCUUCUCCCAAUCAGGUUUUAAACAACAAAGAAUCACCGUUAUUCGUUGAAGGUAAGUAGAUCUCUCGUUUCGAGAAUUGCCUAUUUUUAAUAAUCGGACUUAAGAGACUGAUUUUGGGUUCGCUAUGAGUGAUUUAGGCUUUAGAGUGUUCGCGGUUGGAUUAGCAGCAAAAAAGAACCAGGUGUGUACUCCGAUUACCCAGAAAAUGAGUUUCGGUGAAAGCUAAAAAGUAUCCUGUCGACGCCACAUGGGUGUGUGGUCUGCCCGUGUGGUAGCCUGCAUCGCGAGACACAAGCUUGUCACAGAAGAGCUAGGCCGUGCGUGCGCCACAAAUGCCAGAUGGACACAACCGUGUGAGGGCUUGUAGGUCGUGUGCGAGGCACGGACUCGUGUCGGCCUACACGAAUGAACCACACGGGCGUGUGGGAAUCUAAGUCAGGUCGUGUGGGCCAUACAGGCAGGGAACACGGGCGUAUGAGCCCAAUUUUGUUGAAAUGAUCUGUAAGGUUGCAUGGGUUGCCUAAGUCGACUGUGACCUGACUGUAGGGGUGGUAAGCGUUACUCGGUCCCCUUACUCUGAUUGGUUACUGAAAAGUAUGUUAAUAUAAGCAUGUGUAUCUGUCUGAUUCUGUAUAUCUGCUCUAACAUGAUGUUGAUAUGAUCUACUAUCUGCAUAAUAGCAUGCCAUGAUAUUUAUGAUGCAUUGCAUUGGGUUAGGAUUGUUGUGAAGAGAAGGAAGUUUGAGAGGAGAUUAGCCUGUUAUCUGGCAGCGAUGCUGUAUUUAUAUAUAUAAAUUGCCAUGUACUAUUUUGCGGUACCUUAUAGUGUGUAGGGUUGGAUGGGUUGAUAAAAUCCCCAUACUUGGUGUGUAAGGUUGAGUGGGUCGAUUCUAUCCCCACAUGGUGUGAUGGGUUAGACGGAGAUGGUGUGCAGGGUUGGUGAGCAUGAUAUUUCUGAUAUAUGAUCUGUUAUGCAUGCGAUAUCUGUAUGGCUAAGGCCGAAUAACUAUAUUCUGUUAUCUGUUUGUAUGCAUGCUGUUUGUGGGGAUGUACACACUGAGUUUGCAAAAACCCACCCCUUUGUUUAUUUUGUUUGUCAGGUAAUCCUCAGCAGUAGAUGGAUCGGUGUGACGGAGGGCUUAAUGGUGACCACUGCUAGACAUUUACGGAUUUUUGAGUAACACUUUAUUUUACCUACUUUAUUUAAAUAUAUGUUUUAGGAUUAAUAUGUAUUUGGACUCGAACUAUUAUUGGGUUUAUUUUGGGAUUUUAAAUUGUUAAAUUAUUGAUUUAUGAAUUAAUGAUGUUUUAGCUUCCGCGUUAAUGAAAUGUUCACGUAAUAAUUGGAAUAAAAAUUGCCCGACUUAAGUAAAGCUAAUAAACUAAACGAUUUUUCACUUGAUAAGGUUUCCUAAAAGGGUUUCCUAAAAGUAUUCUCAUAUGCCGCCAGAUUCGGCCAUAACGUCUAGGCCGGGUUUGGAGUGUUACAAUUAUCAUGUUGUAUGCUAGUUUCCUCUAUUGUAUUCAUCCAUUUGUAACCAGUUUUAACUGUAUAAAUCCUUGUAUUAUCG
rnacentral:lncRNA from 1 species